GGUGGUUUUUCUCUGCAGUGAUAGAUACUUCUAACAACUCGCUAUCACCGGGUGAAAAAUCACCUA
rnacentral:pre_miRNA from 1 species